UGCAAUGUUAAAAAACUUGUUUUCAUAGACUCACAAGUUAGAACAUUUGUGGUGAUUACUUAUAUAUAUAUAUAUAAUAUAUAUAUAUAUAUAAUUCUUAUGUAUUUCGUGCAAUUUUGUUAAGCUCCUACGCCUCUUCACUGUACAUAUUUCAUCUUGUAAAUUUUUCUCUAUCCAACCACCUUUUUGUCUUCAAUCAAAAAAUGCAGACAUGUUAAUUCAUCAGGACAUGAACCAGCUGAGUGUCUGAAGUAUUUGAAUCUUCUCAGAAACUCCGAAACAAUGGAGGCCGAAACUUGAUCAUCCAAAACUGCUUUGACAGCGAGCCUUCUAUAACCAUUCAAGGGGAAGGAGGAAAAAAGAACCUCUGAAGAUCUUGGACGUGUCGGUAAUACAGCAUAAUUCCAAGACUCUCCAAGAUUCUCCAUUGUCAAUCAGCAAGAAGAAACAAUGCUACUCCAAUCACCACAAAGAGGAAAACUCGGAAUAAAGAAAAUAAAGAAAAGAUAUAUAAUAUGUACAUUCCAUCCAAGAAGCUGAUUGCAGAAACUAAAGAAAGAAAGAAAGAUUACUGACAUCCAGUAGGGAAAACUCAUGCAUGAUCCAGCGACCAUUCUCGGUGUUCUUCUUCUUCUCCUCAAACGCAAGCAUCUUCUCAUACCCAAUAACGUUGUCGUCUGUGUCGACAACCUCCACCGACCUCUCCAUCUUCCAUGCACCGCAACCGACCCCUUCUCUCCAUUCUUGUUUUGCUUUUCUUCUUCAGACUUGUAAGCGCAUAAAACGCCGUCGGUUCAUUCUUGUCGAACACC
rnacentral:lncRNA from 1 species